rnacentral:rRNA from 1 species
UACAGAGGUCCCAAGCGUUGUUCGGAUUCACUGGGCGUAAAGGGUGCGUAGGUGGUUAGGUAAGUCCGAUGUGAAAUCUCCAGGCUCAACCUGGAAAUGGCAUUGGAUACUAUCUAGCUUGAGGAGUGGAGGGGGGACUGGAAUUCUCGGUGUAGCAGUGAAAUGCGUAGAUAUCAAGUGGAACACCAGUGGCGAAGGCGAGUCUCUGGACAUUUCCUGACGCUGAGGCACGAAAGCCAGGGGAGCAAACGGG